UACAGAGGGUGCAAGCGUUAAUCGGAAUUCCUGGGCGUAAAGCGUGCGUAGACGGUUACAUAAGUCGGGUGUGAAAGCCCCGGGCUCAACCUGGGAAUUGCAUUCGAGACUGCGUAGCUAGGGUGCGGAAGAGGGAAGCGGAAUUUCCGGUGUAGCGGUGAAAUGCGUAGAUAUCGGAAGGAACACCAGUGGCGAAAGCGGCUUCCUGGUCCAGCACCGACGUUCAGGCACGAAAGCGUGGGGAGCAAACAGG
rnacentral:rRNA from 1 species